rnacentral:misc_RNA from 1 species
UCGACUGGAUUGUGCCCUAAGCUAUGUAAAGCAGCGUCUUUAUUCCGUGAAAAAUUGGGGAUCAUAUUCAAGCCUCCUGGAAUCCGCGGCAAAGCGAGCAUUCUCGUUGCACACAGAGGUCAAGGAGAGAAAAGCGGUGAAAAAUCAACAAUAUGAGUCGCGAAGACGAAGAAGAAGAAGAAAUAGAAGGAGAAGAUGAGAGAAGAGAAGCGGCAAUAGCAUCGACACCAUCUUUGCAACCCGGUUUCAAGCCCACCGUGUUUCCCAAGAUCAGGUCUUCAAGCUCCAAGAGCUACACAAGAGGCGCUUGAAGAUAAAAUCAAAGCUUCAAAAGAAAUCAGAAGAUGGCCGUGGCACUAGCAGAUCUUGUGGUAAAUACUUCAAACAUGGCGAUGAUGAAGAUACAUGUAGAAUAAUUGAAGACUCAAGCGUCUCCAACUUCAAAAAACAUCACAACAGUGUUAAUUCCUCAGCACAGCAAGACAAUUCAGCAAUACAUCAAGCACCGAAAAAGCGCCAGAAAUUGUAUUGGGGGCUUGACACAAAGGAAAGGUGGGAAAGGAAAGCCAACAUGUAAUAUUACCAUGCAAAUGAAAAUCCUGCUUUUUCUACUUCCAAAGUUUGCUCGUAUUAAGCAAUAGGCAAAAAAUUGUUGAGGCUGAUUUGUGUUGAAUUUGCCUCGCAUGAUAACAUGAGCUUGCAACAACUUUCAACCAAGCAAUGAGGAAUAUCUGCUAUUCUAUCAACAGCUCGGGACAAACCAUGAUACUAUUUCAGCGUUGGUAGGUGAUAAAACGGUGAUACGCCUUUAUCAGAAGACCCAAAAAAGAUUGAUUUAGAUUUAAUGCUACCAGUAGAGCAACACGUUGUCAAAGUCAAUUUGUAAUAUAUUUUGCAAUGUAUGGAACUGCUUGGUGUUAUUCAUCCUCAGAAACAAUAAUUCUGAAAUUUUAA